rnacentral:lncRNA from 1 species
UAGCCCAGGUGGAGAUGAACGCGAAGCUCAAUGCUUUGAUAGACCAGAUGGCCCAGGAAAAGGAGAGUAGGCUGAUGUUGGAGAAGCAAAACCUAGAGUUGCUAGCCCGACUGAACACUCUCACCCAGAUCCAAACUCCUCCGCCAAUUCGAACACACCAUCUGGACCGGUUCCGAGUCCCCGUCAAUUCCAUGGUGGACAUCGAGGACAUCCCUCUCACCCCUCACGGAACUGAGAUCAUCCCAGACGAUCCAUCAUCUUCGGUAAGAAACACUGGAUCUGGGGUAAUUCAUCCUAACACGGGUG